rnacentral:rRNA from 1 species
UGGGGAAUUUUGGACAAUGGGCGAAAGCCUGAUCCAGCAAUGCCGCGUGUGUGAAGAAGGCCUUCGGGUUGUAAAGCACUUUUGUCCGGAAAGAAAUCCUUGGCUCUAAUACAGUCGGGGGAUGACGGUACCGGAAGAAUAAGCACCGGCUAACUACGUGCCAGCAGCCGCGGUAAUACGUAGGGUGCAAGCGUUAAUCGGAAUUACUGGGCGUAAAGCGUGCGCAGGCGGUUUGCUAAGACCGAUGUGAAAUCCCCGGGCUCAACCUGGGAACUGCAUUGGUGACUGGCAGGCUAGAGUAUGGCAGAGGGGGGUAGAAUUCCACGUGUAGCAGUGAAAUGCGUAGAGAUGUGGAGGAAUACCGAUGGCGAAGGCAGCCCCCUGGGCCAAUACUGACGCUCAUGCACGAAAGCGUGGGGAGCAAACAGGAUUAGAUGCCCUGGUAGUCCACGCCCUAAACGAUGUCAACUAGUUGUUGGGGAUUCAUUCCUUAGUAACGUAGCUAACGCGUGAAGUUGACCGCCU